AACGAACGCUGGCGGCAGGCCUAACACAUGCAAGUCGAACGCCCUCUUCGGAGGGAGUGGCAGACGGGUGAGUAACGCGUGGGAACCUACCUAGUGGUACGGAAUAACUCGGGGAAACCCGUGCUAAUACCGUAUGUGCCCGAUAGGGGAAAGAUUUAUCGCCAUUAGAUGGGCCCGCGUCGGAUUAGCUUGUUGGUGAGGUAAUGGCUCACCAAGGCGACGAUCCGUAGCUGGUCUGAGAGGAUGAUCAGCCACACUGGGACUGAGACACGGCCCAGACUCCUACGGGAGGCAGCAGUGAGGAAUAUUGGACAAUAGGCGAAAGCCUGAUCCAGCGACGUCACGUGAAUGAUGAAGGCCUUAGGGUUGUAAAAUUCUUUUAGUGGAGAAGAUAAUGACGGUAUCCACAGAAAAAGUCCCGGCUAACUUCGUGCCAGCCGCCGCGGUAAAAC
rnacentral:rRNA from 1 species